UGUGUCCAACCAGCACUGAAGUCUGCUACCAAACAUCUAAAACAAUAAUAAGUCUCUAUAAGACACCAUGCCCAACUAACAGUAGCAUAAACAUGAUAAACUGCAAAAUCUUUUCUGUCCAAUUAUAAGCAUUUUGUGUCAAAAUAUAUUUUAUGUAUAGGAUAUUUGUGUCAAUAUGUAUCUAUAACAAAUUUGUGUCAUUUAGAAUUAUCUUUUGUGAUGAACUAAUUUACAAAUAAAUUAUAGAAUAAUUGCAAUACAUAUUAGAGAGAACAACAAACCAUAUAAUAACUAGCCUCCUCCGAAUAUAUAUUAAGGCGAUACCUAACGCUACAGGGAGAUAACUCUGUAAAAUCAGCUAAACGUUUUAAUUACGUUGUGUUGUUUUGGGAAUAUUAAGCUUCUCGAUGAUCAAAAUAAGUGUUUGUCAAACUGCUAUAUAACCAGUGUAAUUUUUCUGUUAAAACGGUUAAUUAAAAUUUUUUGAAAUUUCUAUAUUUUUGUCAAAGGGUCAGAGUAAAUACUUUGUCAAAAUUUUAUGAAAAUCAAACGAGCCAAAUUAGUUUUAGUUAAGGUGUUGGGUACCACCUUAAGAAAAAAUAAUGAAGAAUACAUAAUCCAGACAGAUUGACUAGACACUUAAAUCUUCCCUUUUACCAUUUGCCCCCUCUAUAGACUUUAUGUAGACUAACAUAAAUUUUCUAUUUUCACUACACUUAAAAUGUGUAAGUGGAGUUCUAAGAGCACAGUUAUGCAAAAAAAAAUAUAGGUUUUGAUAAUUUGAACCACAUUAUGAGCAUUAUUUGGCAUAUGACUAGAUAUAUUUU
rnacentral:lncRNA from 1 species